rnacentral:sRNA from 1 species
ACUUCCGCGUCCGCCCCGCGGCGUCCGGCGGCCGCGCCGAGGGUCUGGCGGGCCGCAGAGGGAGACCAAGACAUCGUUGUUUUGAAGUUUCUGAAAGUGUUGGGAGGCAAAAAUUCAGGUGCCUGGGGGAGAAAUGGAAGGCCACAAGGCAGAAGAAGAGGUGCUAGAUGUUCUCCGACUGAACGUGGGUGGCUGUAUUUACACAGCCCGGCGGGAGUCCUUGUGCCGCUUCAAGGACUCCAUGUUGGCAUCUAUGUUCAGUGGUCGCUUUCCUCUAAAAACAGAUGAGUCAGGGGCUUGUGUUAUUGACCGUGAUGGACGUCUAUUUAAAUACCUUUUGGAUUACCUUCAUGGAGAAGUUCAGAUUCCCACAGAUGAGCAAACCCGCAUCGCCCUACAGGAAGAGGCUGAUUACUUUGGCAUCCCUUAUCCAUACAGCCUGUCUGACCAUUUGGCCAAUGAAAUGGAGACAUAUUCUUUAAGGCUUUAACAGACUUCUGUGAUUCAUAUGGCUUAGUCUGCAAUAAACCAACGGUUUGGGUUCUCCACUAUCUUAACACAUCUGG